GGGCCGUGGGGCCGCCUACCAUGCACCUCGAACGGGACUAUCUCGGAAGAAGUUUUCGGAUGGAUUUUGGGAUCCUUUAAUGGCGGACGGGUGAGUAACACGUGAGCAACCUGCCUUCGAGAGGGGAAUAACGGCUGGAAACGGUCGCUAAUACCGCAUAAUGUACGGAUGGGACAUCCUGUCUGUACCAAAGAUUUAUCGCUCGAAGAUGGGCUCGCGUCCGAUUAGGUAGUUGGUGAGGUAACGGCCCACCAAGCCGACGAUCGGUAGCCGGACUGAGAGGUUGAACGGCCACAUUGGGACUGAGACACGGCCCAGACUCCUACGGGAGGCAGCAGUGGGGGAUAUUGCACAAUGGGGGAAACCCUGAUGCAGCGACGCCGCGUGUGGGAAGACGGUCUUCUGGAUUGUAAACCACUGUCCCCAGGGACGAAAAUGACGGUACCUGGGGAGGAAGCUCCGGCUAACUACGUGCCAGCAGCCGCGGUAAUACGUAGGGAGCAAGCGUUGUCCGGAAUUACUGGGUGUAAAGGGAGCGUAGGCGGGGAUGCAAGUUGGGUGUCAAAACUACCGGCUCAACCGAUAGUCGCACUCAAAACUGCAACUCUUGAGUGAAGUAGAGGCAGGCGGAAUUCCUAGUGUAGCGGUGAAAUGCGUAGAUAUUAGGAGGAACACCAGUGGCGAAAGCGGCCUGCUGGGCUUUUACUGACGCUGAGGCUCGAAAGUGUGGGGAGCAAACAGGAUUAAAUACCCUGGUAGUCCACACCCGUAACGAUGAUUACUAGGUGUGUGGGGUCUGA
rnacentral:rRNA from 1 species